UCGCGGCUUAUCACCGGCAGUCCCCUUAGAGUGCCCAACUAAAUGAUGGCAACUAAGGGCGAGGGUUGCGCUCGUUGCGGGACUUAACCCAACAUCUCACGACACGAGCUGACGACAGCCAUGCAGCACCUGUGUUACGGUUCCCUUUCGGGCACCCUCACAUCUCUGCGAGGUUCCGUACAUGUCAAGGGUAGGUAAGGUUUUUCGCGUUGCACAGACUAUAC
rnacentral:misc_RNA from 1 species